UGGGGAAUUUUGGACAAUGGACGCAACCCUGAUCCAGCCAUGCCGCGUGAGUGAUGAAGGCCUUCGGGUUGUAAAGCUCUUUUGGCGGGGACGAUGAUGACGGUACCCGCAGAAUAAGCCCCGGCUAACUUCGUGCCAGCAGCCGCGGUAAUACGGAGGGGGCUAGCGUUGUUCGGAAUUACUGGGCGUAAAGCGCGCGUAGGCGGCUUUGUAAGUUAGAGGUGAAAGCCCGGAGCUCAACUCCGGAACUGCCUUUAAGACUGCAUCGCUAGAAUCGUGGAGAGGUGAGUGGAAUUCCGAGUGUAGAGGUGAAAUUCGUAGAUAUUCGGAAGAACGCCAGUGGCGAAGGCGACUCGCUGGACAGGUAUUGACGCUGAGGUGCGAAAGCGUGGGGAGCAAA
rnacentral:rRNA from 1 species